CUAAUUACUAGAUUCAUUACGGUUGCUAAUUCAGCUAAAGUUUAUCUGAUUGCCAUUCCUUCCAUUAUUUGAAAUGGAGGAAGCGGGCCUUGCCUCUGAUUUUGAUAACGUAAAUGCUUCGUGUCCUUUGCAUUUGGAUUAGUCCAGUGUCUUUUUCCGUGCUGCGUGCAGGUCAGGAACUCUGUUGUCAUAAAACAAAUAAUAAAAAUUUCUCCUAUGGAAAUAAUUCUGCAAGCAUCUUUCAAAAAUAGAAUGCUAAAUGGCAACUCUGGGUGCUUAGCUCAUGCGGCUCAUUAGAGCUCUUGCCUCAGACAUGCUUAACUGAUACAGUGAAUAGUAUCAAAUGGCUUGUUUGAACUGAGAGAUUACAAAACCGAACUUUGCUGAAUAACUGCUCUUUAAUUGCUCGUAUGAAUAAACAUGUAUCUUGUUUUAACUUGCUGUGUAUUAAAAAUGGUAAUAAGAGGCGAAUUAAAAGCUGGAAAGUGCUAGGAAUGCAAAAUGCCUAAUAUCAACUCAGUGGGCCAGGAAAGAAUGUGUUCAAGUGCUCGAAAUAAACCAAUGAGAUAAAGCUUUCUUUCUCAGCGGUUUCGAGGCGCUAAUUGAAAGAUCUGGUUUAUUGCCAUCUUUCUUUUGAGUCAGAAAUCACAAAGCCACUGGUGCUGCUUCUUCCUUGAACAACGUUGAAUGGUGUCUGCAGUUCAGAGCAGCUCCUUGUCUCUUGGUGCACUGAUUGCACAGUGGCUUGUGGCUCUUGGCGAUACUCGGGCUCAACAAGCAGGCCUUCUAUCUCAAGUGACUGGAGCAUCUGCUUAAAUACUUGGCUCAUUUCAACAAAUGCUUGUUCUAAAGCUUAAAUCCAUUUUUAUUUAGCUCCACUAGUUAGUUGGCUCGUUUCUCCUGUCCAUCUAGGUAUCAGUGGACCCGUGGUAAUAUUUAGAUUUAAUAAAACUCUUCGUACCUGUGCUUCCGUGUUAGUUCCUGUGUGGGGUUCCUGCUUUUUUCUAUUCCAAGGCCUUCCACAAAGAGACUUAGAGCAGAGCUCAGCAAAAAAAAAAAUGCUUCUGGAAUGCUUCUUCUAAGCUUAUAAGUAAACUAAAUAGAUAAUUAGUAAGGACUGGAUUGAAAAUUAAAAGUAAACAAGUUGAUAAGUCAAAUAUUCAGUGUAUAUGUCAGUCAUAGUGCUAGCUAUGGAAGUCAUCCUCUCUACCUGUAUUUCAUUAUAGUGAGAGCUAAGAGAUGUAGACCUUAGAUUGGUGCUUGCUUGGAUGCUUGAAGACUCCACAGGGUGAAUGUAACCACAAAUGCUUCUGCAGGAUGGUCCUGAGAACCUGUCCCUCUUCCCUGUAGGCAAAUGUGCUACUGUGUUACUGCAGACAAAUUAAAAACCUUUCUGUCUGGUGAGGGGCCAGCUUAUCAUCCACUGGAGUUUGUGGUAGCCUAUAAGUAGCUUACCUCUAUUUCCUCCCCUCUCCUGCUUCCCAAAAAGGUGCUUUCUGUUUUCGCGCUUGAUCUGUGGAGGCGUGGGCUCUGGAACUUGGUUCCUUGGCACCGAGGGCCUGCUGUCACAUAGGAGGAUUACUGCAUCCGUAUGUUAGUGGUGACCUCCCCCGCCCCCGUGCUGGAAGUUGGUUGGGAUCAAGAAGCUAAUGGAUUUGUUGGCCUUAACUGGAGGUCUGAGCCACAGCAGCAUUGCUGGAGGAUGCUGCUUUUACCAAGAAUAGUGUGUAUCUAUGCGUCUGGAAUAACGGCUUAUUUGAAGUUAAAACUCCGCUUACUUUGUGGAGGGGGUGGGGGGGAAACCACAGUUAUGAGUACUGUUGGAGGCUGAAUAUUGGCAAGGAAAGCAGGCCACAGAGAAAUUUCAACAGCAGCUUAUGCUGAUGGGGUUUUUAGUGCAGUUCUGGCCUCUAUCAAGGAUCUCUGUGUUUCUUCAGCCUUGCACCUGCACUGCUGCUGCUGACUGCACACCCAGGAGCCAUUGCUAUUGCCUGGUAACCUGCUGAUGUGCGUCUGGUGUAAAGAGCCAGAGUUAAGAGCUGAUGAAGUGAGUUAUAGGAAACUGGAUGUGGCAAGAAUUGGUUAAAGGCAUGUUUGGGUUCCCAGAUGCUCUGAUGAUAACCAAACUGACAUUCAUUUUGGUGCUGAUCUCGAAUGGUUAAGAUAGCGAUGGUGAAUCUGGUGUGGUUUCUAUUAAUUCCUAACUGGUAGCAUACAGAGUUGCCUUUCUAGGAAGAAGGUGAGACUGUCCACUGAAGUCGAGUUACUUCCUUUCAGACCCUAGAAAGGAAACAAGCUGUUAAAUGUGACUGGCAAGUCUAGUAAUCUAUCAUUUACCUCUUCAGAAUGAAACUAGUGGAGCAGCAGGGAGACUUGACUAAAUCCAGCUGGCGCCAAGCUGUGUGAGCUGAGCACUGGUGCUUGUCUCAUCGAGAAGAGUUCCGUGCAGCAUCUGAGGAGGGUUGGUGGGGAGUUCUGGAACUUGAAGCAUUUCUGUUAUCUGUCCAGUGGCACGAUCUUGGCCUCUGAGUUGUGUUAUUGCUGUGCUGUGGGUGAUGAAUGUGAAUGGAGAACUGGAGACUGGUGGCUUGUGAAAGCAUGUUGUCCGUACUUGGUCCUGUCUUUACUUCUGGUCUCUUCGUGACGACACAGAAGACAAAAGGUAGCAGGGCUUGUACAGGAUCUGCUGGGAAGAGUGGUUGGAGCGUAAACUCUGGGGAGCCCAGUCUUGUGGAGGAGACAAAAUAACUUCAUUUCUUCCUCCAUUUUUAACAUCACCUGUUCUGCUUCUUGCUGUAAGGUUUAUUUUUGUCACAGCUGAAGAAUGUUAAAAUAUCUUUCCUAGAGAAAACAUAAUAUUUUUGCAAAUUAUUCUGAAGUGUACUAUCUUCACACCAAAACCAGGGCAAACCUGUCAUUAUGGCUUCUUGCACAUGGACUUUUCUCCUUAGGCCACUGACAGUUAAGCAUGGUCCCACACAGUCUCAAGUUCCCCUGAUGAUCUGUGCUCAUGCAGAUUUUAAGAAGGCGUAACCCUUACCCACAUUUUUUCCCCUCAUUCCUUCUAUGUUUGGUGGAGUUUUGACUUCUUUUUGGAUAUAGUAGUUGAUUUUUUUUUUUCCUCCACAUUUUAUGCUUCUCUAGAUCCACACUUCUUGUGGUGGGGUUGUAUCAUGUGGGUCACUGAUACUCCAGGCUGCCUGCUCUGCUCUGGAAUGGCCAGCCUUAACCCCAGCCUGUAAUUAGUAGCAUCCCUCAUUGGUGUAGAUCAAAAGCUGGAGGCAGUUGGUUUUGAGGGUACCUGGGGGAAUACCCGAGUGCUGAGAGGUUGUUGGGAAGGUUUGGAUCAAUAGCACUUUGCUCAGACUGGUUAUGUGCCAGUUCUUCAGUGUCCUUGUGCCUGAUGAACUGUGUUCUCAAUGCCUUCUGGGGAUGUUGCUGUAAGGGAGGACUCUACUUUUGGUCACCAGCUUUGGGUCUUUAGCUUGAGUGAGGGAACAUCUUCAUGUUUGCAGUAGUUUUUUUACAUGCAGGUCUUGUAAGGACUUCUUGCUACCAGCUCUAGAUCAUCGUUUCUAUCGAAGUCAUGUCAGGUAGAUGUGAUUUCAGGGGUUGGGCUGAGGGGAAAUCUUUCAAUGAUAAAAUAGAGGUGUCCACUGGGAAGAAUCACUUGUAAGGGUCUACCAGCCUUGGAUGCUGCAGAGUUCUCUAGACCUCUGUUGUUUCAAUGCUUUGUAGCAAACUGCAGGUUGGUUGCCUCGUUGCUUCAUGAGGUUCUGGGUUCCCUGUGAGGCAGCUUCUGAGAUCCCCACAGUGCAGCAUGGUGUUUGAAUGUAGGAAUUUGCUCUUUGCUUAUUGUCCUGCUGUGCUGUAAGCUGGGAGGUUCAGGAGCCGUGCCCCUCGUGACUCAGACAGCUAUGGUGUCAGCUUGCUGCUUCGGAGCAGUGGCUGGGGCUUUGGCUGUCAGAGCUGUAUCUGUCACCUUCCUUUGUAUCCCUGAGACAAGGGAAAUAUUUGAAAUGGGCAUCUGGCUUGGUGGGGAGGGACGGGGCUGCCAGGGGAGGUCACCAAGAAAGCAGAAUUUAGUCUGAAAGUAAAAUGUGAGGAGAGGAGAUGCUGCACUUGAUAAUAUGGAGGGGAAAAUACAGAGCUGCUUUGAUGAAGAGCUACAAAUAAUGCUCCAGAGGAGUUUCUGGUGUAGGAGGAAGCAUUUUCUCCAUCUUCAGUUGUGUGCUUCAUCAUCAACAAUGCUUUAAAUAUCGCUGUUUAGAAAGAUUAUAUAUAGAUUAUAUGCAGUCAUCUUAGAAACCUAAUUCUGAACAUAGCUAUGCAGACCUUGCUAUCCAGUUUGACUCAUGGCUGAUAGGAAGCAGAGAACUGUUGGCAUAUAUAUGUGUGGUUUCUUCUUUUUUUAUGGUUUCUUCUGUCUGCACUUGGAAGAAGGAGGGCUUGUGCUGGUGAGUAGUCAUCACACUGCUGGGAGUCCUUUCAUCUCAGAGCAAAAUUUUAUUUUAUUUUUCCUGAACUUUGAAUUGAAGUGAAUUUCAAAGCGUGCUGUGUCGCUUGGAGAACUGUGUAAAGCAGAGAUCAGGAUUGUUCGUGGUCGCUUGAAGUGUUUCAGUGCUUUGGUAGGCAGCGUUCUGGAUGCAAUUUCUGUAGUAUCUUGAGUUUUUAAGUCGCUCGGAAGCAUUUCAGUAUGUGAAAAUGCAGCUGACUGCAGAGAUCCAGAAUGGAAAUGCCUCCAUUCUGGUGGAUGGAAGGUGAGUUGUUUGCAGCAUUGCAGCACGGGCAGGAAUUGGAAAGAACAAGCUAGUGACUGUACUGCUCCUGAGAUAGGACUGGAUGAAACUUCCCAGCAAUAUGAAGUUCUGCUUUUGUCUCAAUACUUCUUAUUAAUGGAAAAUAGAAGGGAAGAAGAGAACCUCAUGCCCAACUUGCUAACACGUAUUUUGUUAAAGUUAAUGGGCUCUUUCUGUAUGCACAAGUGAACUUGAGCAGUAUGGAGCCUGCACGAGUUUGACACGCCUGCCUGCUUUGCCAGGAGAGAAGAAAGCUGAGUGUCACAUCCGAGUUGCAGGGCUGAAUUUGACUGAUAAAUGCAGGCUAAUAUCUGAGAAGCUCCUGGAAAGCUGGCUAACUGUCUGCUCAGUGGCUCUGUAGGAGUCCUGGUGUUUAACUGAAGGGAGAUACUGCAGGUCAUGAAGCAUCUUGCUUGUGCUAAGGUUCCCAUUCCUGUGCCUGCUAGGAUGGAUUGAAGGAAUUGCCCAUUUCACUGUUGGGUUUCAUUAGUCUGCCAUAAAGACUGGUGGUCAUUAUCUUAUAGUGUUUAUAAAAAAAAAAAUUCAAAAUAUGUUGCCGUGUGUUCUGCUCUAUUCCCUGCUCUUCUGGAGAGAGAGGUCAUUGCCCACAGUUGGUGUGGCAUACUAAUACCCCCUAAGUCAUGGCAAUAAGUGCUUAACUGCUUCCUGACCUCGUUUGGUCAAAGGAUUGAAGCAAGUAGCUGGGAAAUUCUGCUCAUUUUGUGUUAGCCUGGUUCUGCUGUUCCUGCAGUGGAACAGCAGGGUGCUGAGGCCUGGAGGAAGGGGUGAGAUUCAGCUCUGAAGUCUUUUGAACUCAAAAUAUGGAUCAUUUUCAUCACCCACCACUCAGUUUCCUUCUAGCAAAGACUUCUCCAAAAGGGCUGGAAACUGUGCGACUCCAAGGGCUGCUGGAGCUUUCCUGCUAAUUAUUGCUCUCUGUAUACACUUUUUUUUUCCUGCCAGCAAAGAAGAAAAUGUGCUCACUAUUGCGUGGUUACAAACACCCUGGCUGAUACUUCAUAAUUACAAGUAUUACCUACAUAAUUGAUCUGCAGUUCAAUUUUUCUGUGCUGCUUCGAUUUUUCUUUUCCUGUACUUUCCAUUUUAUUGGGGCAGGGGAAAGAAUGAUGAAUGAGGUGCAGCCCCCAGCUCCUGGGCCUGCUGUGGGUGGCAGGUCUCAAGCUGUCUGUAACCCGUUUCUUCUUAUGCCGCUGUUCCUGUGAGGCCAGAGCAUAACCUGGAGCAGUCAGUGUUAUUAUAUAAGCUGCUGUGUUCUAAUUGUUUCAGUUUUUGUGCUGGUCCAGCUGGGAGUACUUCAGAUCACUCAGUUACAGACUGGUAACAACAGGACCUGCAGGAAUCUUGAGUCUGUGCCUUUGCUUCAUCUUCCCAGCACCAAGCAGUUGUGUGGGCCCUGGUACUCAGUAACAUGCAGAGGUGCUGGGUUUAAAUUGUGAGUACUGCUUUGGCCUCAGAAGUUGUUUUUAAAUUAAUUCUGAUUUAGGAAAGACUCAUAAAUGUGAUCAAGUUGAGUUUUGCGUAGCUUUAUACUUUGCUAGAAAAAUCUAAGAGGUUUCUGGGAAGUGCAUUAAAAUCUGUUGUGCCUAGGCAAGAAGAUACAUGAAAUCUCUCUUUUUGUCAGAUAUUCUCUGAUUCUAUUAGCAGUGAUAGCAUAGCAGCCUAUAAAGGUGCAGUAGUUUGGUUUAUGGACUCGUAACACAGCGCCUUUCAUCAACUGAGUGCUCACAUACAGGACAGCCCUUGGAGCCCUGUGCCUGCAGCAGCGUAGCAGGCUGAGCUGGGCCCUGCUGUGCAGCCCUGCAGAGCCUGGUGAGGGGAUAUUAAUACUGUGCUGGCCCUGCUGUGAGCUGGGAUCAUGUUUUCCCUGGUCAGGCUGGGCAUGGCCGGGGCAGUCACACUGUGCACAGCAGCACUGCUGUCAGUCUGAGCGGGGCAUAACCUGUGCUGCCAAAUUACAUUGUUUGUUCUCUUUUUAAACAAGCUGAAGCCUGUAAAUGGGACAGUGCAGUGCUAGUGAACUCCCUGUCUGCAGUGCUGGCUAUAGAGAACAUCUGUAGACAACGCUCUGCUGCAGUUUGGGCAGUGUUUUUGCUUUAGUAGCUGUGUAUGUGUUCCCUUUAUCAUCCCCACAGCGAUCUCGCCCUUCAGCUGCUGCAGUAGCAGCCAGGGCUGCUGUCCCUGUCCAGCCCAGCUUCUGUCAGGCUGAGGCUCCUGCUGCCCCACUGUGUCUCUCACCCUUGCUGGUGUCUCUGACCUCUCCUUGCUGGAUGCCAGCAGGACUGAAUUAUUUCAGCUAGCAGUUUGUGCAGAUGUCUGGGGUAGUUCAGGUUCCUGGCUGCCAAUUGCUCUGGCUGGGGUGAUGGUGAUGUGCCAGAUGCUGGCUGGGCUGCAGCUGUGCCUGGUGGGGGAUGUGUUCCUCUCCAGGCCACAGCCUCUGGCUUCCUCCCCUCAGAGGCUGAAGAGCUACAUCCCCUUCUGCACAGGGUGAGUUUCGGGUUUCCUCACUGAGUAGUUGGGAAAGGCUGCAUGUGAGGAACACCAAGCUCAGGGGGCUGAGUGGGGUUUGGGGAGUGAAAGGCAGCUCCGUAACCUAAGGAGGUGAAACUGGACAAGGGAACUACGAUGUGGUGUUGCAGCUUUCCCAUCUGGAGGAUGGGCCCUACAUUCACAAACACGGGAUACAGGUCUUGUUUUCUAGGCAAGACACUAGUGGGUUACACUGCAAUUAACAGUCGGGGAUGCCUAGAUGCUUAUUUCAGCUUAAUUAUUUGUGUAGUAGUAGAGUAUGUCUAUCACUUUCUGUAUUUGAAGAACUGCAGCUAAACAUCGAGUCUGGGUACUGCAGUGAAGCAAACUGUUCCAUUUCUCCUGUUAGAGAACUGACCUGCAUCUUGCUGAUGUGCUCUGAAACUGCUCUUUAGAGGCCUUCUUCUGGUGUUGCAGCAGGAGGCACCAACCUAGCCAUCGUAAGAGCAUUUUCCUUGGUAGAAGAACUGCAAAGCUGGACUAUUAAGCCAGGGAGCUGUACAAAGGUUUUGACACUAUUGCCACCGUAGAGGUACAUACAUAGUGAAGUUUUGAUGUGGCUUUAAGGAAAGAGCACAUGGGGAACCUUCCGUGCUCUGAAGCACUGGUACCAGUUAGAGGGAGUGCUCCUGAAGUCUGCAAGCUGAAACUUAGCUCUUUUUUUGUCUGAAGAGUUCAGAUGAGAGGUAACACUUCUCUCUUACCUAUAUGGCACUGGUAAGCUGCACUCUGAGAGCACAAAUGAUAAUGCACAGUGCCUGACGGAUAUGUAUGUUUGUCUCUUUCUCAGGUUCCUCACUGCUAGGAAUAUACUAUAACUUUCAAGUAGGCUUCUGCAAGCAGGCUGAGCUCUGCAGUCUGGGAUAGCAUACCAAAAUCCAAAUUACUAAGUGAUAUAUUACUGGCUUAAAGCUUGUAAGCAUCUGGAAAUAUUCAAACGCCACAAUUAGUGUCCUGAAGGAGAGUUUGUAUACAGCACUGUCAGAGCACUGCUUUACUAUUUGUCUCUGGAGCCUUGCCUGGAGAGCAUGCAUUCCAGCGGGCAGUGUUGCUGUUGCUUGAUAUUGUCUGUAUCCUGUUCCUCUGUGAAGAAGAAAUGUAUUUCAAGCAGCUAGCUUGUUUGCAGCUGAUCACACAAUUCUAAGGUGAAUAAGCAUCUAUACUUCAGCUCUUCAAUAUACAGACCUAACCUGUAAGCUGAAACUUACUGGAGUCUGAUUCCUCAUCCAGACUGGACAGUUGCUGUAGCUCUGCAGUGCUUGACUCUAAUUCAGGUCUCCUGGCAGAGUUCUGUCCCUGGGAAGCAGCAAAGGCUCGGGGCAUCGCUCUGCCCUGUCUGGGUCUGAAAGCUUUGGGUACCUGCAGCAGCUGCCUGGCAGUAAUCACUGAGCAGGGUGUCCACUUGUAAGGCAGGUGUAAAUGUGUAUAUUUUUUCCUAUGGCUGGUCACAAAGAACUUUUUCAAAACGCUCUAAACAAUCUCAACCUGUUUUUCACUUGCAAACUGAAGGCAUGAUAACCCAUCCCUCCUCCUGUGGGAGAUCUUGGUCCCAUCUUUCCUCGAGUAAAUGAAGUCUCUGUAGCAUAGUGGUGUUUUGAAAGAAAUGUGGCUUGAAAUUCUGCAGGGAAGGGGCAGGAGAGUGAACUGAGUGACAGGUAUGCAGGACAUCGAGAUGCUGGGGUUCAUGGUAAUGCAUGUGGACGAGAUCCCUUAUGGUGGAGGUUUAGUGGUCAGUGAUACAAAUUUAUCCUCCAAGUAAAUGAACACCAGCAUUGGUGAAAGUAGAGAAUAGUUCAUUUGCUUUUUGGGAUCAUUCCAGGUUCUCUGAUCCUUGCAAUUACUGUACUGGGAAGUGGUCUGGAAAGGCUUCCAGGUUAGGUGUCAUCAGUAGAGCUCGGAAGCUUGUUAAGUUUGUUUUUGUACGACAUUAGUGCCUACAGCUGCAUCCUUGUGAGGUGAACCCAGGGCUGUGGAGCUGGGUCGGUAACAAACAGAGCAGGGCCCCAGGUGCUGCUGGGUGAAGGGUUCCAGAAUCACCCUGAAUGAAGGAGCUCCACUGGAUUAUGCCUCACUAAGUGUUCAUGUGGCUGUAGCGAUCAGAGGAUCUGCUGGGGGAAGAGCUGGGAGCUGACCUGGCUGUAGGAAUUCCUUUCUCAUGAGCAGAUCUCAUCUGCAGUCAGCAAUGAGUGUGGGCGACCUCAUUUGGCUCCUUGGUCAGCUGAACCACGCUGUUAAAAUAACCAUCCUGCCUCCCUCUCCUUCACGAGCUCGCUAGUGGCCGUGAGUGCAUUUGGCCAGGGAGCUCCAUCAGUUACUAACCAGUUCUUCUUGAAACUUAUCCUCAAAGAGAAACUGCCUGCUUGAAAUACAUAUGUUAUUACCAAAGAUGUUUGGCUAGCUCCUGGCUCAAUUCAGAGAUUGCCUUCUGCCUGUACUUCCAGGAUCCUUCGGAUGUGUAGAAAGAAUGAAGUUCCUCUUUUUCUUCCAAAUAAAAGAUUUUUAAGAAAUGGA